GACGAACGCUGGCGGCGUGCUUAACACAUGCAAGUCGAACGGAAAGGCCCUGCUUUUGUGGGGUGCUCGAGUGGCGAACGGGUGAGUAACACGUGAGUAACCUGCCCUUGACUUUGGGAUAACUUCAGGAAACUGGGGCUAAUACCGGAUAGGAGCUCCUGCUGCAUGGUGGGGGUUGGAAAGUUUCGGCGGUUGGGGAUGGACUCGCGGCUUAUCAGCUUGUUGGUGGGGUAGUGGCUUACCAAGGCUUUGACGGGUAGCCGGCCUGAGAGGGUGACCGGCAACAUUGGGACUGAGAUACGGCCCAGACUCCUCCGGGAGGCAGCAGUGGGGAAUAUUGCACAAUGGGCGGAAGCCUGAUGCAGCAACGCCGCGUGCGGGAUGACGGCCUUCGGUUUGUAAACCGCUUUCGCCUGGGACGAAGCGUGAGUGACGGUAAUGGGUAAAGAAGCACCGGCUAACUACGUG
rnacentral:rRNA from 1 species